rnacentral:piRNA from 1 species
UUUUCAAAAAGUUGUUUAAAA